ACAGCAGCACAACCUUACUGCAUAAUAGUUGUCUUAUCUGAUGCCAUCACUAGGCUGAUUUAAGAAUUGAAUUUAGGCUGCUAUAUUUAACAGUGAGUUAAUUUCAUUCAGGUGUGCGGAUGGUUGAUCAGGAAAGACAUGGGAAGGCAGCAGUGGAGAAGAACACAGGCAAGGAGUGAAUGAGACAUACAUGAGGUCAGCGAUGGCAUAACGUAGAGAGGAGACCAGUGA